rnacentral:tRNA from 2 species
GCCGAAGUGGCGGAACAGGCAGACGCGCACGACUCAAAAUCGUGUUCCGAAAGGAGUGUGGGUUCGAUUCCCACCUUCGGCA